UGAUUAAGCCAUGCGAGUCGAGAGGUGUAAGACCUCGGCAUACUGCUCAGUAACACGUGGUUAACCUGCCCUAAGGUGGAGAAUACUCCCGGGAAACUGGGGCUAAUGCUCCAUAGUGGAUAUCUCCUGGAAUGGUAUAUCCUCGAAAGAUCCGUCGCCUUAGGAUGGGACUGCGUCCGAUUAGGUUGUUGGCGGGGUAACGGCCCACCAAGCCUUUUAUCGGUACGGGUUGUGGGAGCAAGAUCCCGGAGAUGGAUUCUGAGACAUGAAUCCAGGCCCUACGGGGCGCAGCAGGCGCGCAAACUUUACAAUGCGAGCAAUCGUGAUAAGGAAACCCUGAGUGCCUGUCGAUGCAGGCUGUUCAUAUAUCUAAAUCAUAUGUGAAGAAAGGGCAGGGCAAGACCGGUGCCGGCCGCCGCGGUAAUACCGGCUGCUCGAGUGAUGGCCACUAUUACUGGGUUUAAAGCGUCCGUAGCUUGACUGUUAGGUCUCUUGGGAAAUCUUCGCGCUCAACGUGAAGGCGUCUAAGAGAUACCGGCAGUCUUGGAACUGGGAGAGGUAAACCGUACUUCGGGGGUAGGAGUGAAAUCUUGUAAUCCUCGAGGGACGACCUAUGGCGAAGGCAGUUUACCAGAACAGCUUCGACAGUGAGGGACGAAAGCUGGGGGAGCAAACGGGAUUAGAUACCCCGGUAGUCCCAGCCGUAAACAAUGUGCGUUAGGUGUGUCGGUAACCACGUGUUACUGAUGCGCCGAAGAGAAAUCGUGAAACGCACCACCUGGGAAGUACGGUCGCAAGGCUGAAACUUAAAGGAAUUGGCGGGGGAGCA
rnacentral:rRNA from 1 species